CAAGCACUCAGGAGCUGAGAUAUGUUGUAGGAGGGGUGUUUGGGAGCCCUCAUCCCCUGGUAGUGAUGCCCACUGUUGCUGCCCACUGCUGACCCGUUCUCUGAAGCUGGAUGGUGGUGAGCUGAGGCUUGCAGGAACCUGCUGCUGCUCCUGGCUGCCUCGGGGAUGAGUUGAGCUUCGAGUGCUGCCGCUUCCAAAGCAGGGCUGAGAGCGCAGCCAGCCGAGCGCCCGGGGAGCUGCAGCCGCCGGGGGCGCCGCUCCCUUCCCGGGGUGCGCGGAGCAGGCGUGGGAAAGCGCUUUUAUUUUCGUUAAAUGGCUUUUCCUCAAAGUUCAUAGACCGUUUCACGGCCAUAAGUGGAA